rnacentral:rRNA from 1 species
AUUGAACGCUGGCGGCAGGCCUAACACAUGCAAGUCGAGCGGAGCGGCGGACGGGUGAGUAAUGCCUAGGAAGCUGCAUGGGAGUGGGGGAGAACGUAGGGAAACGGGCGAUAAUACCGCAUACUAGAAGAGGAGCUUAGGUCGGAUUAGCUGGUUGGUGGGGUAAAGGCCUACCAAGGCGACGAUCCGUAACUGGUCUGAGGGGAUGAUCAGUCACACUGGAACUGAGACACGGUCCAGACUCCUACGGGAGGCAGCAGUGGGGAAUAUUGGACAAUGGACGAAAGCCUGAUCCAGCCAUGCCGCGUGUGUGAAGAAGGUCUUCGGAUUGUAAAGCACUUUAAGUUGGGAGGCGUUACCAACAGAAUAAGCAACGGCUAACUUCGUGCCAGCAGCCGCGGUAAUAC